rnacentral:lncRNA from 1 species
AGGGCCAUACCCACUGCAUGUGGAAGUUCCCAGGCUAGGUCAAAUCACAGCUAUAGCUGCCAGCCUACACCACAGCCACAGCCACAGCAAUGCAGGAUCUGAGGCAUGUCUGCGACCUACACCACAGCUGAUGGCAAUGCCGUAUCCUUAACCCAAUGAGUGAGACCAGGGAUUGAACCCACACCCUCAUGGUUCCUAGUCAGGUUCGUUAACCACUGAGCCAUGAAAGGAACUCCUGUAUUGUUCAUUAUUUAAGGUUUAUUCUUUUAUAUAUAGGAGACUAUAAGACUCAUUCUGCAUUGUUCCAAUGUGUCGUUGGACAACAACAAACCACGACUACAAAUCUACUGAGAGAAGAGACUUCAUUGCUAUGGGAGGGAAAGUAAAGAGAUGAUGGUAAUGAUAAAAAGACAAUGCUUCUGAGUCCCAAAACAAAUUUAUCUGUAGAGACAAAGAAAAGUCUAGUCCACAAAUAGUCUACGUAACACAAGAAAAACGGAAACAAUAUUUUCUAUUUGUUUGAUCUUUUGCAAAGGGAGAAUUCUCCAAUCUCAAUUCUAGGUAGUUCUGAAGUUAUAGAAAAAUAGAAGCUGGUCAAAGAAAUGGAGAGACUCUCCUCCAAAGUCAAGAGAAAGGAUGUUUUCUGGUGCAGAGCUAAUGUUAAAGUAACUCGUUGGUAUAGGGAAGGACUGGCCAACAGGGAACUGCCGUACACAGUCCAGGGAACUCUACCCAAUAUUCUGUGAUAAUCUAUAUGGGAAAAAGAAUCUGAAAAAGAAUGGAUUGUGUGUGUGUGUGUGUGUGUGUGUGUGUGUUUCAAAGUACAAAUCCAGUCCUACUUUAACAGACAUUUUGUUGAUUAUCCAAAAUCCCAAUUUGAAGAAAAUGUUUCUCUUAGUUUCAGGCAAAUAACCAAUAAGACAGUAAGAAUGGACAGUAAGAAUCAAUGUUUCAGUAUUUUCUAUCUGUGAAAAAAUGGACAGGCUAUAAAGAGCAGACUGUGGUAAACCAAAUGUUUCCAUUUUCUUUUUGUUCCAUGGUAAAUGCUAUCUAUUAUUAAAAUGCAAACCACACUAGUCUGUUACUCUAAUUAGGUUUGCCUAAGCCAUUACUAAAUCCAUAGUUACUAAGUAUUGACAGUAACUAUAUUUUCUUUUAGCAUGUUUCACGUGCCUUUACUAUAGUCUUUUAGAAGAAAGAAAAUAUUAUCUCCAUCUUUAUUUUUCAAACCCAAUAUACUGUGUACAGACAGUAACAAAGUUAUAGAAUAGCCCACUUACUUUCAAUACCAGAGCCUACACAGAGUCAAUACUGAUUACCAUCCUUAUAUAUCAUGAUGAUUCAACUGGGGGAACGGUAAUGGUGGUAAGGGAGAGUCAGAAUUUCUCUUAACUGUUCCAGUAAAGUGUCUUUUUAUUCAAAGCUAUUUCAUUCUUGUCAUUCUGUCUUAAUGCAGUACAAUUUAACCACAGCAGCAGUUAAGUUCUGGAUUUUUGCCAUAGCUGAAAUUUUGCACAGUUUUAUUUUAUACAGUAUUAGCCAUUAAGUUAAUAAUUUUAAGGUGAUUAACAUUUAUUUGUAAGACUUUUUCAUUAAGCGAAAUCCACAAAACAAAAAACAGGCUAUCAAAUGCAUGUUGGGAUAUAUGGCUAUUGUCAUGGUUACAUAAUUUUAAUACGAUGGAGGACAUGCGUGUGAGCAGCACAUAGAGUCCAGAACCUUUUGGCAAAGAUGCUGACAAUUCAGAAACAAAAAUAAAUGCUGAUUUGUAUUGUAGAGCAUUGAGGCCAAAGCUAAUGGGACUCAAAAGCAUCACUAUUGUACAGGGAAGAAAGGAUAUUCAUUUCUUGGGGCAUUUGUGACCAAAACUGCCAGUAUCCUGACCUCCUAAGGGUUAAUCUCCUCAAAUUGAUCAUUAAAUAUCCUUUUUCCUAAAAUAGAAAAAAUUCAUAAACCACAGAAUUUUAAAAAUGAAGCUGUAUCGGUCUGGUUUCUCUUUCCAAAAAUAAAAAAAAAUUAAUAAUAAUAAAAAGGAAGUAGGAGGAAAGAUAAAACUAAGGUCCUGAAACAAAGACAUACGACAUUGUUGUUUUCUUUCUUUCUAUGAAGCAGCUUCUAUCUAUUGAAGUUGCUUUGCAAAGACAAAAGUAUGAGCUAGGGGCCAAUAAAUUGUGUGUUUUCCCAACUCAGUUCCUCUGCCUUUGCUGUAGGAAUUUCCCCUGGUAGCUAAGACCUCCUAUAGACCAUAAUUCUUGCUUUUCCAUCCCUGUACACUUUUACAUAAAACAAGAAAGACUGCCACUGCAUGGACUUCAGAGCACUCAAAAUGUAGUCUGGGGAAGUUAUUCUGUCAUUUCCUAACUUUGUCUCUUCUCUACGGAAUCAUAAAGAACACAUGUUCUGAAUCGUCGGUCCAUCACAACUUCCAUCUGAGGCAGUGCUCGAGGAAGAGGGUGGCCUUGCUUUGCGAAUUUCACUUUCUGAUCAUUAGUGACAACAUCAUCCUCGUCCUCACUCAGCUUUCAUGAUGCACUUGAAACCUUGUGCCAUUUCUGGCCUGAAAAAUGCCUUUAAGAAAUGCUUCUGGGACAUCCCACAAGGAGGUCAUUGUUUUCGUAUUCAUUUCCUAGAGAUUUAGACCAUCGUGUGCUUCUAGCAAUGCUAACUGCAUGAGGUUGAUAUAUAAUGGUUGAUGGACUAAACCGUAGUGCAGUCCAUUUGUGAAAGGGUAGCUUCUCACUUCAAUGGACAGAAAUACAAUUUAAACAUGUUAGAAGUGUAGUUUUCAGUAAAAUCAGGACCAAAUGGGGUGUGUGGAAACUGAACCACUCAAAUCUUUUUUGUUGAAAAGUAACUUGAAAGCCAAGCUUUAGGGAGAUUAUAUUUUACUGUUCUUUCAAUGUGAAUUGGAAUGUACAGCAACUGCUGCUAUUUCAGCAAAUAAUAAACAUUAGUCUUCAAGAAUGUAAAAAUAGCACAAACCAAAGCAAUGUUAACCAUGAAUAGAGUUUAUCUCAUCUUUUCCUACGUAUAAUUCCCUGCAGCUUUUGAAUAAUGAUGGAGACAAUUACGGUAAAAAGUGCUAGCAAAUAGGAGUGAUCACAUAGGCAUUAUACAGAAAAUUGUAUGUACACUAUCUGUUUUCAGUGAUCACUUUACAAAAUCAGAGAGCUCUUGAUAUAAUGUUAAGGGAUACAAGAAGGAGGAAUAAUGGGCAUUGUCCAGAGACUAAGGGCUUUAGGCUGGAUUCAGUAACCAAGCAUGGCUUUAAGUCAUUUUGUUUUGGGAAAGAGGCAUGAAUUUUCAGUUUUACGUGAGACAGUCAUAAUAUAACUAUGGUAAGCAGAAGCAUUAUAGUAUGGGAAUUUUGCCAGUUUCUGAGUGUUGUCUAUUCCAAUUAUGCCUUCCAGAAGGGAAAUGACAUCAUGAUGGGUGCAGAGAACCACUGAACCCACUGAGACAGAUCUAAGCUAACACUCCCCAGACCACUUGACCUUCACAAGCCCGAGCACCAACUGGUAGACCAUGCGAUGUUCUAGGUCCUGGAAUUAGUGUCAGUUUAGAGCAAGCAUCCAUUAAUCCCUGAAGAAUCUGAUUAUUUCCUUUUACCCAAAGUCUGAUAAAAAGCCAUACAUCCCUAGGGGGAAGCCUGCGAGUUAACACUCAUGGUCCACACUUUGGGCCGUGUAACAGGGUCCUUCCUCCAGGGCACCCACCCUCUCCUUCAUUCAAGGGAUUCUAGAUAUGUAAACUGGUUCCACUUUGCAAAUUGAUCAAGGGGCUGUGACACCAUUUUAAGGACUCAAGUGAGAAUUUAGUUCCUUUAACCUAGGAUUCUUCUUUUUGGACAGUUCAAGUAAGAACUUGGUAGACAGCUCAUCCAUUCCUUUUCUAGAGACACAAUGAUCAACUAGUUGAUGCCAUAGGUCUCUGCAAGUCAGACUAUAAUGAUUGCUGUUUUGAUUCUGCUGUCCAUUAUGGUAACCACACCUAUCUUCUCCCUGAUGAUUAAGUGCUGCCUCUUGGCCCCUGCCAGGCCCGGAAUCCAAUUACUCCUAUUGCAUUGAAGGAUCCUAGUUCAGUGACAGUAAUCCCCACUGUCAUUUCUGGCCUACAGAGAAGAUUGGCCACAGAGCUCUGCAAUGACAUUGGGCUCCCCUCACAAAUUUAUUUCCAACAGUCCUAGUGAAAGGUGUGUCCUCUGGACCCUUCCAGAAUGGGUGACUAGGAGUUACAUGAUAAAGUCAUUCGAACAUUCCAAUCUUUAGAUCCCUUCCACCACAGUCUAUCAGGGAAGUUCUGACAUUUCAAAUUCAUUUACUGUUGGCCAUCUUUUUUUAACUUUUUUUUUAAUUAGAGUGUAGCGGAUUUACAAUGUUGUGCCAGUUUCUACUGUGCAGCAAAGUGAUUCAGUCAUAUUCUUUUUUAAAUAUUAUUUUCCAUCAUAGUCUAUCCCAGGAGACUGGAUAGAGUCCCCUGUGCUAUACCCUUAGACCUUAUUGUCUAUCCAUUCUAAAUGUAAUAGUUUGCACCUAUUUAGCCCAAACUCUCAGCCCGUCCCACUCGGUCCCCCUGCCCCCAGCAAUCACAAGUCUGCUCUCCAUGUCUGUGAGUUAGUUUCUGUUCUGUAGAUAGGUUCAUUUGUGCCACAUUUUAGAUACCAUAUAUAAGUGAUAUGGUAUUUGUCCUUCUCUUUCUGACUUACAUCACUUAGUAUGAGACGCUCUAGUUGCCUCCAUGUUGCUGCAAAUGGCAUUACUUUGUUUUUUUAUGGCUGAAUAGUAUUCCACCAAAUACAUGUACUGCAUUUUCUUAUUCCAUUCAUCUGUUGAUGGACAUUUAAAUUGUUUCCAUGUUUUGGCUAUUGUAAAUAGUGCUACAAUGAAUAUACAGGUGCAUUUAUCUUUCUGAAUUAUAUUUUUUUUCCUGGAUAUAUGCCGAGGAGUGGGAUUGCUGGUUCAUUCAGUGAUUCUGUAUUAGUUUUUUGAGACACCUUCAUACUGUUUUCCAUAGUUGUUGUACCAAUUUACAUUCCACCAAUAGUAUAGGAUGGUUCCCUUUUCUCCACACCCUCUUCAGCAUUUGCUAUUUGUAGACUUUUUUAUGACAGCCAUUCUGACCAGUGUGAAGUGGCACCUCAUUGUAGUUUUGAUUUGCAUGUCUCUAAUAAUUAGUAAUGUUGAACAUUUUUUCAUGUGCCUAUUGGGCAUCUGUAAGUCUUCUUUGGAGAAAUUUCUAUUUAGGUCUUAUAUCUAUUUUUAGAUUGGAUUGU